CCAAACCCGAUCAGAUAUACUUCAACUCUUUGUAAUUCCUGAAUUCGAAAUCGUGAGUUGCUGAGAGGACAGUAAUUUUAGAUCGGUUUUGCUCGUCUCUUUCCCUCUACAAUUCUCUCUGCAUAUCUUUCCCCGCCGGUGAAUCAAUGAAACGAAUUAUCACCUAGAUUUCGUAAUUCGUAUAUGAUGCUGGAGUAAUUUCUUCCCGACUGUUGCGUCCAAUUGAUUCCUGCUUGUACGGUUUCUAUUCGUGAGUCGUAUUGAUGCUGGCUUGUUUCUUUGUGCGAUUCUAGAUAGUGGAUCAUGGAUACUGAGAGGAAAUUGAUAUACCAUGAGAGGCAAAGACUGCAAUUCUGCUUAUUGCACACCCUCAACAAUCUCUUCCAGGAGAAGGAUGCAUUUUCAAGAGCGGCAUUGAAUGCCAUUGCUCGAAGACUUGACCUUCAGGAUCCGAACCAGUCAUCAUGGACUCCAUUGUCAGUAGUUUUUAAGUCUCAUCACAAUGUGGUUACAGGGAACUAUGAUGUCAAUGUACUGAUUGCCGCACUUGAAGAAAGGGGUAAGACGGUGAAAUGGCAUGAUCGGAGAUGUGGGGCAUCCACAAUCGGUCUUGAUGAUAAAUUGUUUGGCAUCGUGCUCAAUGUUCCGGUCAAAAGGUAUGGCGGCCUGUGGAAAGGCAGGCAUUGGAUUGCAUUGAGAAGAGUUGAUAGUGCUUGGUACAAUCUGGAUAGUGAUUUUUCCUCUCCCUAUCAAUUCAAGAAUACCGAAGAAAUAACAGAACUCUUGGAUGGUGUGAUUUCAACUGGAGGCGAGAUUUUGCUUGUUAUGAAUGGCGAAGACUGAGAUUAAAGGAACAACAAAAGAGUUUUGUUUUUGUCCUAUGCCUUUCAGCAGCCUAUUCGACGCAGCAUAAGGCUCUUGGUGUGACUAACUCUUUCGAACUUGAGAAGUUAAAGGCGUUAAUAAGUUCGACAUGGAAAGAGUUUUGUUUUUGUUUCGUGCCAUUCCUAUUCCUAAGCAGUCUCAAGGCUUUGCAAGCUUCAAGUGUUUUGUGAUCAAUUGUGCAGUUGUUUUCUGGUAUGUUCGUUGAACUUGAACUUAAACCAAAGGAAAUUUCGGAUUGUUUACCUUUUUGGCUUGUUGACGGAGGAGGUGAGGAGAGAUCUUAUACAGAUCUUCAUCAACAGCUUUCGGAGCUUGUCUGCGAGGGGCAGGGCUCGGCGAGGAACUCAGAUCGCAGUCGCAUUCCGCCCACGCAUCUUUCUGAUUUUUCCCCUCUCUCUCUCUAGGAUACACUGCCUUCCCCUGCAGCUCACAAUUAACCGAUUCAGUCACUCAAAUCGAAUGCCUCACAUCGGAAUUAGGGAUUGGGAGAUGAAUUAGGGUGGAGAAGGAGCUUACACGUCGGCGGGGAACGACGAUGACGGCAGGGGUGAGGACUUCAUUGUCGUACAAAUCGCCGGCGACGUAGAGAUCGCGGUCCUCGGAGUAGCUGUAGCGGAGGAGAGCGGCUUGGCGCGCGGAUUCGAAGCACUGAGUGAAGGGGAGGUCGUCGUUGUGGCAAUCCCAGCUGCCGAAGGGGGGGACGUGGCUCCUCCAGUAGAAAUCCUGCAGUGAGAAGAGAGUGACAUUGUCAAUAAUUUGUAGAGGAAAAAGUGAAGGAGGCGGUUGGGGUUUACUAUCACUACUACUACCUCCAUGGAAAUUGGUUGGUGAUUUGCAGAGAAGAUAGAAUAUGUGUGAGAAUGAUGUGAGAGACUUUUAGGGAUGAGCUUUUCAGUGGCGCAUGCUUUGUCCAGUAUUUAAAGGGAGGGAAUGAAAGAGAAAAACACUAGUUAUGGGCCCCACCUGGUUUUCUAUGCCGCGUCCUUUUCCUUUUCUUUUUUCCUUUUUCUUUUCUUUUUUAUGUUUAUAAAUAGUCAAUCUACCAAUUUCCUCUAAAAAUUUGGUCAAAGGUAUGACGUGAAAAAAUUACAAUUUUUAUAAUAUAGGAAUAUUUAGCAUGAA